rnacentral:tRNA from 1 species
GUCCCCAUAGCUCAGCUGGAUAGAGCGUUUGCCUUCUAAGCAAAAGGUCGGAGGUUCGAGCCCUCCUGGGGAUA